AGUAAUGCCUGGGAAAUUGCCCAGUCGAGGGGGAUAACAGUUGGAAACGACUGCUAAUACCGCAURCGCCCUACGGGGGAAAGCAGGGGACCUUCGGGCCUUGCGCGAUUGGAUAUGCCCAGGUGGGAUUAGCUAGUUGGUGAGGUAAUGGCUCACCAAGGCGACGAUCCCUAGCUGGUCUGAGAGGAUGAUCAGCCACACUGGAACUGAGACACGGUCCAGACUCCUACGGGAGGCAGCAGUGGGGAAUAUUGCACAAUGGGGGAAACCCUGAUGCAGCCAUGCCGCGUGUGUGAAGAAGGCCUUCGGGUUGUAAAGCACUUUCAGCGAGGAGGAAAGGUCAGUAGCUAAUAUCURCUGRCUGUGACGUUACUCGCAGAAGAAGCACCG
rnacentral:rRNA from 1 species